rnacentral:rRNA from 1 species
ACGGCUCAGUAACACGUGGUCAACCUAACUCGUGGACGUGGAUAACCUCGGGAAACUGAGAAUAAACCACGAUAGAUCAUAAUGCCUGGAAUGGCUUAUGGUCCAAACAGUUUACUGCCAUGGGAUGGGACUGCGGCCUAUCAGCUUGUUGGUGAGGUAAUGGCCCACCAAGGCGAUUACAGGUACGGGCUCUGAGAGGAGAAGCCCGGAGAUGGGUACUGAGACACGGACCCAGGCCCUAUGGGGCGCAGCAGGCGAGAAACCUUAGCAAUGUGCGAAAGCACGACUGGGUCAGUCCGAGUGAUUCCUGAUAAAGGAGUCUUUUGCUUGUCCUAAAAGCACAGGUGAAUAAGGGGUGGGCAAGUCUGGUGUCAGCCGCCGCGGUAAUACCAGCACCUCGAGUGGUCAGGACGUUUAUUGGGCCUAAAGCAUCCGUAGCCGGCUCUGCAAGUCUUCGGUUAAAUCCACCUGCUCAACAGAUGGGCUGCCGGAGAUACUACAAAGCUAGGGAGCGGGAGAGGUAGACGGUAUUCUGUGGGUAGGGGUAAAAUCCACUGAUCCAUAGAGGACCACCAGUGGCGAAGGCGGUCUACCAGAACGCGUUCGACGGUGAGGGAUGAAAGCUGGGGGAGCAAACCGGAUUAGAUACCCGGGUAGUCCCAGCUGUAAACGAUGCAAACUCGGUGAUGCAUUGGCUUAUGGCCAAUGCAGUGCCGCAGGGAAGCCGUUAAGUUUGCCGCCUGGGAAGUACGGACGCAAGUCUGAAACUUAAAGGAAUUGGCGGGGGAG